AUCCAAACCCUGCGCUGAGCCCCACCGCAAAGGGGCUGAGAUGUGUUGGAGACCCCCCCCCUUAAGCAGCACCAAAAGGGUUUUGCAGCACAGAGGAGAAGCAAAGCAGGACAGCACAGAGCAGGGGCACAGCAUGGGUGUACACGUGGGGACGCACAGCCAUCACUCGGCUCCUUUGCUCUCUGCCCACACCCUGCAGCCCAAACCUUCUCCUCCCCCCCUCCAGAAGUUCCCCUCCUUUCUCCUGCAUUAUUUCCCUGCCAUUUCAGCCCCGUUCUCUCCGCUUCUGCUGGAGGUCUGAGGGCGCUCAGGUGGAUCCUGACGGGCCACGCUCCGCUGCCUCCAUCCCUGCAAGACGUGAGGAUGGAGCUGAUGGCUGCGGGUGGGGAUGCCGCCCUGCAGCUGUCUGAAACACGAAGCAAAUCCCUUCCUCCCCAUUGCACAACUCACUCCUGGACAGGGUUUGUAUGCGAAGCAGUGUGGGAUUAUUCAUCCACCCCCUCCCUGUGUUCGUGCCCUUCCCUGGGCGCAUCAACCUUCCCCAGGCAUUUAAAUGGGGGGAGAUGCUCUGAGCUCCAUCCACGUCCCCACGAUGGGAGGAGGAGACGCUCUGCCCCACACCAUGGAGUGCACGGGGGAUAUGGGGUAUAAUGGGAGGGUAUGGGGUAUAAUAGGAGGGUAUGGGGUGUCCCGGGGAUGCGGGUAGCAGCCACUCAAUGCUUUGGAAUCGUUCCCACACGUGCAGCCCUGGGGGACCGGGAGGGUUUGGGUCGGCUCCAUCCGCUCUGUGCUCCCCCAGGGGCUGCAGGGCUGAUCCCCUCUAAUCCCACACUGGCUCAGUGCCCGGGCUCAGCGCCUUCCCACCACCCCAUCCCCUCGGAUUAUUGGUGCCCGUUGCCUUCAUAAGGGGCAGAAAGGAGCCUGGGCUCAUCCUGGGGCUGCGGUCACCGCCUGAGCUCCGUGGGGACGAUGAAGCCGUACGCAGUGCUGCUGCUGGCGGGGCUGGCCUGCUGCCUGGCUGCGGGCUGUGAGUAGGGCAGGACCCCCAUGGGGCUGGAUGUCCCUUAAGGGGUGUCUGUCCCACCAGUGGGGUGGGCCGUCCCCAUGCUGGGGUCGGUGACUCUGUGUCCCUUCCAUUCGCAGUGCCCGUCAAUGAGACGCCGGCCGUGGGGCAAGACGCGAAGGUGAGCGGCAGAGCUGCCGAAGGAGCGCUGGUGGAUUUGGCUGACGUGGUGGAGAGCCUCCUGCGCUCCCUGGGGGACACCCUGGCCGGGGCAGUCCGACUGCUGAUAGGGGGAAAAGAGAAAUAGCUGGCGUGGUGAGCGCCGAACUGCCCUGCUGGGGACGUGGGGACAUCAUGGGGACGUGGGGACAUCAUGGGGACACCAUGGGGACGUGGUGCUCCAUCCGUGGGCUCUGCUCCACCCCCAGGUGCCUCCAAUGCCACCAGCUCGCCCUGCAGCUCUUCCUACGUGAGCACUGCUCCGAACAAAGCUUCCAAUAAAGCAG
ensembl:lncRNA